rnacentral:SRP_RNA from 1 species
ACUAGGUGUAGUGGCACAUGCCUGUAAUCCCAGUCACCAGGAAGGCUGAGGUUACUGAAUGUCUACAGUUGAAGAGUCCUGCACUACAGUGGGCUAAUGCAGUCAGUGUCUGUGCUAAGCUGACCAUUAAUAUGGCUAGCUUUUUGGAUUGAGAAGCCACCAGGUUGCCUAAAGAGGGGAAAACUGGCCCAGGUCAGAAACAGAGCAGGUCAAAGCCUCCCAUAAUGGCCAGAGUAGAAUAGGGCCAUUGAUUAGCCCUUGUACUUCCAAUUUGAACAAAAUGGAGAAAGAAA